rnacentral:rRNA from 1 species
UACGAAGGGGCUAGCGUUGUUCGGAAUCACUGGGCGUAAAGCGCACGUAGGCGGAUCUUUAAGUCAGAGGUGAAAUCCCAAGGCUCAACCUUGGAACUGCCUUUGGAUACUGGGGAUCUUGAGUCCGGGAGAGGUGAGUGGAACUGCGAGUGUAGUGGUGAAAUGCGUAGAUAUCGGGAGGAACACCAGUGGCGAAAGCGGCUACCCUGGCCCAUU